UACGUAGGGCGCAAGCGUUAUCCGGAAUUAUUGGGCGUAAAGAGCGUGUAGGCGGCCAGAUAAGUCCGCUGUGAAAACUCGAGGCUCAACUUCGAGCUGUCGGUGGAAACUAUUUGGCUAGAGUCCGGAAGAGGAGAGUGGAAUUCCUGGUGUAGCGGUGAAAUGCGCAGAUAUCAUCAGGAACACCAGUGGCGAAAGCGGCUUACUGGGUCUCUUCUGACGCUGAGGUACGAAAGCUAGGGGAGCGAAGGGG
rnacentral:rRNA from 1 species